UAGCUCAGUUGGUAAAGAGUCUGCCUGCAAUGCAGGAGACCCUGGUUCAAUUCCUGG
rnacentral:tRNA from 1 species